UACGUAGGCAGCAAGCGUUGUUCGGAGGUACUGGGCGUAAAGAGUGCGUAGGCGGUCCCGUAAGUUUGUUGUGAAAUCUCCCGGCUUAACUGGGAGGGUGCGGCGAAAACUGCGGGGCUGGAGUAUGGGAGAGGUAGGCGGAAUUCCUGGUGUAGCGGUGAAAUGCGUAGAUAUCAGGAGGAACACCUGUGGUGUAGACAGCUUACUGGACCACUUCUGACGCUGAGACACGAAAGCGUGGGUAGCAAACAGG
rnacentral:rRNA from 1 species